rnacentral:sRNA from 1 species
AUCGGUUUGGAAGUGCAGACCUAUUUAUGACAAGCAAGUUUAAAGCAGUUCACCAUUUAGCGUUAUCCAUGAUAUACCUUCAUUGCGAAUUCCUUCUAAUUAGUUCCCAUAAGUAAGUACAUUAAAAACAAACCUCAUCCCGCCUUAUGGCAACGUAAAAAAUUUAAAGGAACUCCUAUGUCCAAUACAAUGACUGGUUUAGUAAAAUGGUUUAAUAACGAUAAAGGCUUCGGUUUUAUCUCUCCAAAAGAUGGCAGCAAAGAUGUGUUCGUUCACUAUUCUGCAAUCCAAAGUAAUGAUUUCAAAAGCUUAGACGAAGGCCAGGAAGUUUCAUUUACCAUCGAAAAAGGUAUGAAAGGUCCAGCUGCUGCAAAUGUGGUAGUGCUCUAAGGCGACAUCUAUUUCAGAUGUCCAUGCUGUAAAGGCUCGCAGUAUCGGAGA